rnacentral:tRNA from 1 species
AGUUAAAUGGCUGAAAGUAAGUAACGGUCUCUUAAACCGCAAGAUAAUAUCCUAACAAAUAUUUUUAACU